UUUGCUCAUGAGCACCAACAUUCAUGUUCAUUCUCAUCACUGCGCCUGUGCAACUGCAUGUGUUCCCUACGUGGCCUCAUCUAUUUCGCUCGGGAAUAUCCACACGGUACAAGAACAGUACAAAGAUAAAGUUCUUACCCAGAAAACCGCUUCUGGGAAAUUGCCGUUCCCGAGGUUGGACACACGAGGGCAGUCAAGCUCCAUCCAGCGCAACACACAACGCCGCCUGAAACAGAAGUUCUGGAUCUUCUCGAGUGAAAUAGAUGAGGCCACCUACGGAACACAUUAAUUUACAUACACAGCAAAAUCCACAGAAAGAAAUCAACUCUAUUGGAUUUAAUGUAAACACUUUUAAAGUGUCCGGAGGGGUCCACACUCCACAUUGGGAUUUUAACACUUUAAUAGAGUUCACAUCAACUCUUUGUAUAGUUGCAACUGAACACUACUCAAGUGUUAGUUUCUCAACACCAGUGGGUAGUGUUAGAAAUUAAUUCUCAUAGGAGUAAUUCAUUAAAUCUCAUAGUGGUAAUUGCAUACUAUUAAAUGAGUUGCCUCUAACACUAUAAAGUGUUAAUAUGCUACUGCACAAUUAAAAUUACAUUUAAAUGAUUACAAAUCUAAAAGGCAAAUAAAGAAAAAAAAAAACAAGUUGAUUGCUUUAUAAUGGUUUUAUUUUUUCAAGGGCGUUAACAUUACUGACCCCUCAUGUCAAGUCUUUCUAAAUAUAACAAUUGGGCACUAUGUACUCUCUUUGAUUAAUCUCAUUAGAGCACUGCUGGUCAAAUGGCUGGUCAAAAAUGUGUCAGUUCGUUCACAGAGAUGACAGAAAACUCAUCCAUUUGGUUAUCUUCCAUAGAGUAUGCAUUGAAGUGGUCAUCAUAGAACAUAGUGCUUUCAUAAUUUCCUGUAAUGUAAAAACACUCUUCAUAUAUUAUUAUCUCACAGACCUUUUUGAACACAGGGAGAUCAUAGGUACAUCCAGUGCAUAUGAACAAACCAACCUGAUACUCAGUACCAUAAUGUCUGACCCACUUUGUACUUGUAACACUCAAACAGGCUUCUAAAUAUAAUGUCUGACUGAGUUCUUCCCCACCUUGCAAGUUACAGAUGGUUUUUGAUGUAGGGCCAAAUUAAAAACAAUUAAAACCUUCUAAAACAAUCAUUUUCACAGUUAAAUAUCAAUUGACGAUGUUGCUUUACUAAUGAUUUAAUGAGAUUCUUGAAAUUUUUGCCACAUCUUUUGAAAAUAUGGUGCUUAGCUUCAAAUCGCAUUCACCACAUAUGGAUAAGAGGGCCAAUUUUUUUAUGCAUCUCAGAUAGUGCAUCAUCAAGUGGUGCUUGGGAAUCGACCUCUUGUCAGGAAAUAAUUCUUUGAAUAGAGUAUGGUGAUCACAGAUCAGAUGUUUUAAGUAACAUAUCAUCCCAUCAGUUAUGGUGUAGGAGAACACUAUAUUGACAAUCUGUAUCGAAAGCAGGAGAAAGUUCCAGUGAUUGUUAUUCCUUUCAAUGACCACCAAAUAUCAGUGGAGUGUUGUGCAGAAGACACCAUAACUGUAUGGCAUUCAAACCCAGGUGUUUGCUCUUAUCAUCCAUUUUUAACCCACUUGGUUUGUUUUUACAGUCUGUGUAACCAUAAUUAAAGCUCUGUAUCCUAUUUGACAAUGUGUUCAAAGAGACAUAGUCCUGUUUAACAAGGUACUCAAAAACCAGUUUAAGUUCAUACUGUACCACACCCUCUAGCAGAUCAUGAAUGAUGACAACAGCAUAGUUAUCAGUACAAUGGAAAUACUGUAAUGAAUUAUGCACACAUGACUUUUUGACACCAUAUAUUGACCGCAGUUCAGGAUUUUCAUUUAGUGCCUUACAAUGUUCAGUAUGAAGCUCUUUGGAAUGGAAAAUUAACCCAGAAUGAUCUUCAGUAAAUAUAGAUUGAACUUCUUCCUUACUAAUUAAACAGAACCUAUGGAAAUUAGUUGCACUGAAAUAUUCCACAAAUACCAGUAAGCCAUUUAAAGCCAAAUUAUCUCCUGUUACUUGAAUUACUGAGCCAAACAAAGGUUGUUCAAAACAAGGAAGCUGUAUGCCUUCGGUUUCUAAGAUUUUCAGGUCAUCAAUAAGGGGCUUUGGUAUCACAUCAAAACCAUAUGUCUUAAGAUCUUCCGUGUAGAAUAGAGCUGCAAGAUGUAUAUUAAUUAGUACAGAGAUACACUUGGGUGGAAGAUUUUUUUUUUUUUAGAGUAAAAUAGAUACAACCAAGUUUGUGGAUCCCCCUCUUGGAACCUAGAGGGUUAGCAGUUUCAAAAUCGUUGUAAUAGAGUAGAAUCUGUAAAGCGUGCUUUUGCUGCGAGAACAGUGCAUGGUUUUGGAAAUACGACCCAUCAUUAAUGUCUUUGUUAACUCCAAUUCCACUCUGUUUGUCCUGUAAAAAGCUCUCUCUAACUUGACCGUUUUUGAAUAUGGAUUUCAGUGUACCCAGAAUGGGUACAUACAUGCACUUGUCCGUUACGGGAACCUGCCUGUAGUUCUAUCUCUGCGCAAAUCCAUUCUCACCCCAAGAACACAUUCUUUAGGUUCAACUAUUUCCCAUUUCUCAUCAUAAUAUUUAUGUCUCCUUGACUCAGUGUUUAAUGCUGAAAAAGGAUUACUUAAUUGAUCAAAACAGUGUUCAGUUCUUCUACAAGUGUCUGAACUUGUACUUUCAGGAGUAUCAGUUUUAAGAACUGCAUCUCAUGCUUGGAUUUUAACAUCAUUAACAACUUCUUCCAUUGAACAAACAAUUGUUUGGACAGCACUUUCAGAAAGACCUGAUGCUUGCAAAUGAGCAACAAUUGAUCCACACACUGAAGAUAGCUGACUUGUAACAACAGAACUUUGUGAAGUAUGUAAAGUGGCAACAGAAUUUGGGCGAUCAUUUGAACAUUCCGCCUUAUAUUGUCCCUGAGUGGAAAGAUCCUGAUUAGUAUCAAUCUCUUGAUCCAUAGUGUGACUAUGUACCUUGCUGAGGUGUUUUCGGAAGCCACUAUAAGUACAAAAUGAUAACGGGCGACCUGGCUCUCCACAUUUUAAAUGUAACUUUUUGCUAAGAUAUAAACCAUGUUGAAAUUUUAAAUGUUGACGAAGAACCAAACAAGUUCUGAGGUGUGCUUUACAUACAAAACAUGUGAACAUCUUCAAGGCUGUUAAUCUCACUGCAGCAAUCAUGCUCGAAGUUCUUUAACACGCGGGCUCUCCUUUGCUCUUCCGACAUCGAUGUUAUAGAUAGUGGUUUGGAUAAAUGUGUAGAAAUUACAAAGAGCUUCAUCAUAUGAGAAACUGAAGACAUAGUGAACUUUGAACAGUUCAUCAAAAGCUGCCACUGAUGUGUGUGCCUUACAUGGGAUCGCCUUUUGGUCGAUAAUAACGUAGAACUUUGGGAUAUCCUUCUUUCGCUCACUGAUGCAGAGGAGGAAUGGUUGUCUUGUGUCAGCACUCUCAAUGAAGGUAGUCACACUGGCUCCUUCCUGAAGGUCAGCAAAGGGACAUAAAAUAAAUAUGAAAAUAAAACUGCAUGUUUUUUUUACAUUAUCACUAGCACCGUCACAUCUUGUUUGCAGGUGGAGUAAGCAAAAUGAGAUGCAGGUCUCAGAAUCCCAAAAUAAUCUACACCUCAAGAGUUCCUAAAAUUAAGAUCUGAUGUUUAAAUAUUAACUUUUGCAUACCUUAAGAUAUCUCACAAGAUGGCUGGUUGCUUGAGCUGAACUGAUCUUGGAUAUUUUUUUUCUGGCCUCUUGAGGUUAGAGGGAGCAGAUGCAGCUGCAAAAGGAUUGAGGACAUAUCGCUGUCCCAUCGUAAAGACAUCACAAAAUAAUUAAAUGAUCUCUCUUUAAUUAUUUUUUUAAAGACUGGAACAUUUUUAAAAUACAAAACAGUUUAUACUGACCAUUGUAGUCCUCAGAUUCAGGUUCAGUUCCUGACAGCAGCUCGCCCAUAUUCUUAAGAGUCUUGCAGUCUGCAGUGAUUUUUGGCUUGAAGAAUAUUGACCACUUUGCCAGGAACUUCUGAGACACUUCGUCACCAAACAUCAUGGAGAAAUCCUGGUCGAUCUAUAAACAAGGUUUAUACAGGUUUAAACAUAACGGACAUAAAUGGAUAAAAGGUCAAAUACUAAAAAUUAAGAUCUGCUGUGUUAUUUAUGCAUACAUUUGGGAUAUAAAAGAUUAGAACGUUGAAUUUCUCAGUUUGGACCGGCCUGUUGGUGUUACGGUGAUCAUUGAACAACUCCUUUCUCUACUGUACCAGUGAACUCAUUUAAUAACUACAGAGAAAAUUUCCUUUUCAAAACUAUUUCCAAAGCUAAAGAUUUUCUUACCAAUCCAGGUACAUCAAGGAAACGAGGGAACAAAUCCAGGACUGAAGAUGGUGCAUCCUCACCGACCACCUUCUGCCGAUACUGGAAAGUCGCUCAUCUUCUCUUUGACCACAGAUUCAUCAGUGGAAUAUCGUAUCGUAGAUAUCGCCUCCCUGCACUCCUCACCAAAUUGCUGUUGACAGAAUAACAGAGAUUCUCGUCUGGUUUUUGGACCAUCCUGAAGAACAGUCUUGGAAUGACACCGGGAGCCAGCACAGGUGUUACGUUGAACUGUCUUGAUCCUCCAUGCAAUGAAGCCACUAUUACCCUCAGGAUCAUAGUAGUGUUCCUGUUUAAGAAAAGACCCAAAGAGAGGCAUCUCGUGCUUGGCUUCAAGAAUGAAUUACUCAACACAGUAAGUUCACACAAUGACUAUAUAACACUACAAAAACAAGUGGAAAAUACAAAGCUGAGCAACCUAUAAACACUCAUCUAAAACAAGAUCAUUUUAACUUUAAAACUAUAAAAGGGAAGAAAAUAUAAAAACACACUGGUUUGGGUUUUCAGACAGAACUUACAUAUCCAUGUUUGGAGAAAGGAUCUUGGAGGUAUGGAAAAAGUGUCACAAUUCCCAGUGCAUAAUUCGUCUUGACGAUGGAAUCAUCCUUUCAAAUAAAUCAAUUUACUUUGCAAGCGUGUAUGUUUUGCAAGAAGUUAAAGGAUAAAUUCCCCUUUUAUAGCAACACAGAAUAGCAUUCUUUAGCUGCGCCACAUGAAUCUGUUGUGAUGACAAAGGGAGGGAAGUGACCUCCAAUUCUUACCCAUGUAGCUCUAACAUGUCUGCAACCAGGACGUUCACCAUCUGUUAGUGUUUUGGUCUUUUCAUACUCCUUGAAGAUUUCCUCACCCUUUGGAUUGGCCCUCAGAACACAAUCAACUUUCUGCCAAAACAUCUUACAUUGUUAUGACAUGCUCAUGGAAAUUUAAGAGGAUUUUUAAUGCCUUUCCUUUAUGCCGAGAAUACAUUUACAAAACGCUUCUACAGAUAAGUAUCAAUAAUAAACAAUUACGUAAUUGAGGAUUUUAAAUGCAUUUAUUCAAAGCUUACCUGUCUUGCUUCAUUCUGGUCCAUUAACCCUGUUGGGUUCCUCCUCUUUCUUGUGGACUCCAGGACAAUUGUGGAAUCUGAUGAAUGGGAUGAAGCUGGGGAUAGUGGAGUCAGUACAGAGGAGGAUGCUUGAUCUGAGACCAGUUGAACAUCCAGAUGUACAAAAUCACAGACAGAACAAAAUCAAUUUAAAUGUACAUGUAUUUAUCAGUAACAAAAGCAUUUCAACAAAUACUUGAAUGGUUACAUAAAAAAUAUAAAGUAUAUUAUCUUCAUUAAGUACUUUUUACGAAUAAGAUGUACUUAACGUAAUGAUCAAUAGUAUAGCAAAUGAUAAUAGUUUGAGGUCCCUCAAAAAGAUAUUUUAGACUCUGCUCCUAGGUAACUUCAUGUGUUCCCUACGUGGCCUCAUCUAUUUCACUCGAGAAUAUCCACAAAUAGGGAAGAAGAUUACAAAAAUAAAGGUAAUGUAUACAAUAAUUAUCGUGAACGGGUUUAAAAAAGGGGAGAGAGAGUAAUAGUAAUCAUGUAAUAUUUCUUGGCUAACUACCACAAACUUGGAACAGAAUACCCCUUCUGGGAAACUGCCGUUCCCGAGUUUGGACACACGAGGGCAGUCAAGCUCCAUCCAACACAACGCCGCCUGAAACAGAAGGCAGGUUUGGGCUAUUUUACACUGACGCAGCUCAUCAGCGUUAUUACUGUGCAUUGUCUAGUUUUCACGUAUCAAGGACAAUACACGGAGCUUCUGAACUGUUUAACAGCAUCAUCAUUAUGAUUUAAUUUUUAAAGAACGCACCCUCUUCUCUAGACAUGGAAAUGUUGGGUUUUUUAAGUUUACAUUGUCACACAGCAGCUGUACAGAUAUCUGGAUAUAUUAUUUCAGUGUCCAUUCUUAAACACGACAGAUGAACAAACAAAGAAACUAACCACAUGAAAAGGUUAGAUAGACCAAUGAUUAAAUACUACCCUGCUCAAAUUAAUACAGAGGCCAGCUCUGAUACCACAACGUUUAAAAACCUCGACAUUCGCGGCGUCAUAAAGGGAACAACCGUCAAGCAUACCAUCAGGAAACUUAUAGAACUCUGAACGUGACGUCAUAACAGAUCUUAUGGCUCGCUGCUCCGAUUUGACUAUAUAUGUCUGUGCGCGCGCCGGGGAGACUGACCUGGACACGGUAUAAGGACAGCACACAAACACAUUUAAAACAUAUUAACACAUUAACAUUAUAUCAUGUACAUAGCAGUAUAGUUAUCAUAAUAAAGUACACAAAUUUACUGCUAAUAGUAACAUUAUUAAUGUCUUUCUAAUCUCAUUAGUCAUUUCAUUCUCAUCACUGCUCCUACGUAACUUCAUGUGUUCCCUAGGUGGCCUCAUCUAUUUCACUCGAGAAUAUUGCUGGCUCAAAUUUAGCCUAUUACCUGAAGACACUUAAAAAUUCAACAUAGAAGCAAAUACUCACAUCUGCAAACCCAGUUGGAGAUAGAAAAAUAAGACAACAGCCGUGAGGGAGAAGAAGCAAGGUUCCAGAUUUAUUGGUUCCGUUCCACCACACGAGAUCCACACCAAUGAGAAUUCUCAGAAGUUAUCUAAAAAACCAGAGCUGAAGCUCUUCUAUUUAUACAGUUUUCUUAGGGUCAGGAUGACCCAGACACGAAUGUGUUUUAGAAAGAGCUUAUCAAAAUUACCAUUCUGUUUUAGAAAGGGCUCAUCAAAAUUACCAGUAUGUUUUGAAAAGAGCCUUUUCCAAACACCAUUAGGUUUGAAAGAGGUACGAGACACAACAUUUCGGAGAGACCUUGGUCUCACAGUUAUCUCGCGUGUGCAACGUGACUCAACUACCCUUAUAAAUGGCCCCUCUUGGUUCUCUCUUAAAAAUUAAGGCCUUCGUCUGUAUUACUCCUGACUUUUUCUCGUGAGACAAGACUCUUCCCCACCUCCAAGUAUAUUAUGAGCCUGUGUGUGUGUGUGUGUGUCUCUUAGUUGGCCGUCCACCUACGCUCUGAGGCCUGCCGCACUAAUCAAAUACAUGUAUGGUUUGCUGUGUGUUGUGUCUUAGGUAAACAUCCGUUCAUACAGUGCACCAGACCGGUGAAUUCUCAAUAAGAUUACAUAUUACUCAUACUAGGUCUCCCUCGUGUUUAUUUCAUGUAUAUUUUAUAUACAACAAUAUCCACAAAUAGGGAAGAAGAUUACAGAGAUGAAGGCUUAAAACGUGCUUGAAUGAUAAAAAGUCAAUAAAUACGAAAUCACUAAAUAACUUUAAAGGGUUUAUUUUCUAUAGAACAUGAAUACAAUCCUUUCACUCAAAAUAGGACUCCCCGCUGCAGACCCUCCUCCAACGUUUUCAAAAAAGCACCUAGCGUCAUAUCUAGCGACUUUUUAGACAAACCUUAGCUACUUUCCGUAGAAGAGAAUGGCCAGUACUGCCCGGUGAGUGUGAGGUCCUGCUUUCCCCCCGGAGACACGCCUCUCUCUGCAGCUACUCUGUUCAGUGAGGGGCAGGGAGGAGCAGCACAUUCAUUCACUUCUAACUUUCUCUCUGAGAGAUUAUUUUACAUGGAAAUAUAGCACGAAAUCACAGUGCACCCGUUGUCUUUAACUUAUGUGUGUGGUGGUUUAGUCAGAUGACGUCAUGGUUAUAAAAUCAGAAUUUUAGCAGUGUAGAUCAGCAGCUUGGAAAAGGUUUGAAAGUGACUGCUGGUGAACAUGUAGUCUCUUAUUGGGCCGUGGUUCAGUCACUAUUUCAUAUUCAUCCUGUUGUCUGACAACAGAAACAGAAAAAAUACGUAAAUGAAAACAGCUUUAUUGGGAAUUUGGCUGUAAAGGGCUGACUUUAGGCAGAAUGAAAGUACGAUGUAAUGAUGUAAUGAAUAUGCUAAUUAGCGCAUGACAUCAUCUAGAAACGUGUGGACACAGUGCUCCUGUCACUCAAUUGGAGUAUUUUAACAUUAUAGUGAAGAUGAAUCAGUGCCUGGGAAAUACAAAUUUAGUCCAUCACGGCUGGGAAAAGGAGCUAUAUUAAAAUUGGCAGUUUUUAUUAUUAUUAUUAAUAAUAAUAAUAUUUUUUGGAAUUUAAAAAGAAGAAAUAAAGAAUAUGUUUGAAUGACAUCUCUUGUAUAGUCCAUGAAAACAAAAGCAUACACAGUAUUUGAAAAGUGCUUGAAAGUCCUGGAAUUUCAUUAUGAAGCAUCUGUACAGACCCUGUUAUAUGUACUAUGUGAUUGAUGUAUUAAACAUGCCUCUUGAUUUCUGGGUUUAGCAUAGUUAUACCUCGGUUUGAGUUUAAAACAAUAGCUAGAUUUACUGGUAGAAUAAUGCUAGUUAAGUUUCUCUCACAAAUAUUAUUGAGUAGAUAAAGUAUAUUCAGUAGCUUUUCUGGGAUAGUGAGAAUUUAGGUUAAUAUAGUAGAAAACAAAACACUCAGAUUAUCCUGGUUGUAACAACUGCUCAUUCAUCUGUACACCUUUACAGUUUUCACUGCAGAUAUAUCAUCAGCUUUAUUGAACAAUACUCAGAAUCCUUGUCACCUCCAAGCCAAUCAGUCAUCAGUCAUGAUGAAUUUUUGUAUGGUUGGAAGCAUGUUUAAAACACAGAAAGUGCUGAGAUCAUGUAAGAAUGAGGUUUUACUCCCUGGCAUAAAUGUGUUCACUUUAAACUUUGUUCCUUCCCUUAAACACUUACCUGCUUGAGAAUUUGAAUGAUGAUUCUCAGUACAGCACAUUACCAAAUAUUAAUGGGCUUUAAAUUUAUUUAUUUAUUUGUGACAAUUAUGGGAUUUUCUAAUUUGUUUAAUAUGUGAACUUUUUUUAUUAUUAUUAUGGCUCAUCAAGGUUCAGAGCAUUCCAUUCUCUUAAAUCAACAUUUCCCAUUGUUAGUAUCAGAAUCUUAUUUAACAUGCAACAUAUUCAAUAAUCUGUAACUAAGACUCAAUAAAGAAAUUCUGAUUACACAGAGUGUCCAGAAUGUCUCUGAAACACUUCAGCCUAUGAUUAGCCAUGGAUUCCUGAGAGGACACUGUAGCAGUCUCUGAGGAUUUCUUCUUAUCACUCCACUUUUAAAAAAACAACAAACCACUAAAUACUGGAUUCUUCUUUUAUUUUGAUUCUCAGUGCUCAACUCAAACCAACAGCAGUAUUAUUAAUAAUAUCAGGAAUGAUUGUGUCUAAAAUCAACCACUGAUUAUAUCCCACUUGCUUGUUUCUAGAUUGUAUGAUUUAUUUAGCCAAAUCUAAACUCACCAUUCCAACAUAUCCAUUUGUGUAACUGGAUACUCAGGAUAAUGAAAUUUCGCUCUGGUUUCCAUCCACCCACCCUUCCAUUUUCUAUAUCUCCUAUCAUACAGGGUCACAGAGAACCUUGAGCCUAUCCCAGAGAUCAUAGGACACAGGACAGGGUACACCCUGGACAGGGUACCAGUCCAUCGCAAAGCACACUCACAUACACAUUCACACACCCAUUCAUACACUACAGACACUUUGGACAUACCAAUCAGCCUACCAUGCAUGUCCUUGGACAGAGGGAGCAGCACAGGGAGAACACGCAAACUACGCACACACAGGGUUGUGGUGGGAAUCAAACCCCCAACCCUGGAGGUGGGAGGCGAACGUGCUUAGCACUAAGCCACCGUGCGCCCCACUCUGGUCUCUUUAAUUUAAUAAAAAUGC